AAAACAUGUGACGCCUUAGAAAAAGGAAGAAAACAAAAGAACACAGUACUAGGAAUUGAAACCAAGACAUAAAAAGAUUGUUUCUUAUCGUUAUGAACGGAACCCCGCAAAUUCCACUCUUCUAACAAAGAUUUGGACACGUGGCAUGUACCCACAAGCUUCUUGAAAUUGCUUCUGGAGCUUCUGGAGCACUCCCUCUUUUUUAAGGCCUUUAGGUGCCUAUUCAGGAACUACAACAUGAAUGGGAGUGCUAUUUUCUCGAAUGGAUUACACCUCUCUCUAGCGCUCGUGAUAAUAUAACGCGGGUCUUCUUGACAUAAUUCCAAAAUGGGGGGUGCUUGUUCAUUAAAGAGAGACCAGCAUGAUGAUGAUAACAUUAGUAGAAGAGGUUUCUCAAGUAGACGCUUCAAAUUUGGUAGCUCAAAUUGUCUACAGUCCUUCCUUCUUGAGAGUGUCAUAGAUUAUCAUCCGGGAGGAAGCGGUUGUCCGUCCCUCAUGGAAUUAUGCAUUCAUAGAAUACGUAAGGACCUUAACAGAUAUCAUUCAUUCUCAAUGCUGCCAAGGGAUAUAAGCCAGUUGAUAUUCAACAAUCUGGUUUAUUCAAACUGUCUUUCGGAUGAUUGUAUCGAAGCUUUUAGAGACUGUGCACUGCAUGAUAUGUGGAUGGGAGAAUAUAAAGGAGUUAAAGAUAAUUGGAUGGAUGUCAUAUCUUCACAAGGAUCAUCGUUACUGUCUGUAUAUAUUGUUGGUUCUGAUGUCACGGAUUUUGGAUUCAGUCUCUUGCAAAAUUGCUCAAACCUCCAAGUGUUAUCUUUCGAUUGCUGUGACUGUAUUUCUGAACAGGGGAUAAAGCAAGUCAGUGGUUUCUCAAAUUUGACAUAUUUGAGUUUUAGAAAAUGUGUUUCGGUUACUGCUGAAGCUAUGCAAGCUUUAUCCAGCUUAGAUAAAUUGGUUAAGUUGGAUUUCGAGAGGUGUCCACAGAUUCAUGGAGGAUUUGUUCAUCUUCAAGGUUUGACAAAACUUGAAUCUCUCAGUAUAAGAUGUUGUCAGUGCAUUACAGAUUCAGAUAUGAAGCCUCUGGCAGGGCUUGCGAGUUUGAAGGAACUUCAGAUUCUGUGUAUCUACGUAACAGAUUAUGGAGUGUCUUAUUUUAGAGGUUUGAACAAACUUGUUGUACUAAAUAUAGAAGGAUCCCAUGUUACUACUUCAUGUUUGGAUACUAUCUCAGCACUCCCUUCGCUGCAAUCUCUAAAUCUCAAUAGAUGUUGCCUGAGAGAUGAUGGAUGCGAAAAGUUUUCAGCACUCAGCAAUUUGAAGGUGUUGAAUUUGGGAUAUAACCACAUCACGGAUGCAUGUUUGGGCUAUCUGGAAGGUCUGACAAAAUUGGAAGCCCUGAACUUGGACUCUUGUAGGACUACGGAUGACGGACUGGCUCAUUUAGCUGGUUUGGCCAAGUUGGAAGAACUCAACCUCAAAUUCACCUUAGUAACCGAUGAUGGUUUGCAAAAGUUAUCUGGAUUGACACGUCUCAAGUCACUUAAUCUGGAUGUGCGCCAAAUUACAGAUUCCGGUCUUGCAAUUCUCACAGGUUUUACUGGUUUGACUCACCUGGAUCUCUUUGGAGCUCACAUAACAGAUUCUGGGACAAAGUAUCUUGCAUAUUUCAGAAAUCUGCAAUCGCUAGACCUUUGUGGUGGUGCAUUAACUGAUGCUGGAGUCGAGAAUAUAAAGGAUCUUUCUUCCCUGAUGUUUUUGAACCUUUCACAGAACCGAAAUUCGACAGAUAAAACCUUGGAACUCCUAUCAGGACUGACAUUAUUGGUAUCUCUAAAUGUCUCAAACUCUUGCAUCACCAAUCAUGGAUUGCAACAUUUGAAGCCUCUGAAGAAUUUGCGCUCGUUGGACUUGGAAUAUUGCAAUGUGACAGCAUCUGAGAUUAUGAAACUUCAAACGAAUGCCCUUCCAAAUCUUGUGAGAUAUCGGCCUAAUCAACUCUAGCAUAGCUCUUUCUUUCCCCGGUCUGCUUUUGAAGGAGAUGCCUUCGCAACCUAAUCCGGUAGGGUCAGACGGCUUUCAUUGUCCCAGCUUGGCAAAUCACAUCCCGAACGACACAUUAUCUAGGUUCAUCAGGAUCCACUGUGACAAGAAUGUCCAUAUUAGUAAACCAAAGGUCUUUUAGCAAGAAAGUACCUCCAGUUCUUGAAAGUACAUCUCCAGCCCAUUCAUGAAUUCUAUGAAAAUUGAGAAAAAGACUCGGGGGCAUCCCAAAAAAUGGAUAAUUCCUUGGGGUGUCGGCUAACACCCGUUGGAUGCAUACUAAGGGGAGGACACACUAACAUGGGGGAUGUAUGACUGAAGGCAUGCAUGGAGAUUCUGUCUGUCCGAGGUUCGAGAAUCUGUGAAACAAUAUCUAAGGCUAAGGUUACUUCAAGAUAAGUGAAAGCCAUAUUUCUUCCCUAAUAAUGUGUAUUUGUUUGGAGCUUUUUCCCUUGAUGCAUGCUUAUGAAAAACCCUCUGUUCUAUUUAUAGGAUUUUAAGAGGGGAAGCAAAAAUCAUUGUGUUUAUCUUUCUUGCCUAUUUCUUGAAGUUAUAAUAUAUUAAGAUGAAUGUCCACUUCAGUGACGUCUUCUUACUGUCCUAGGAAGAAGGAAAGGAUAAAAGAUCCCACGAACAGGGUUAGCGUAAGAAGAGCUUUUGCAAGAAGGGCGUCGUUCUCAGAUGGGCAGAUGGAGCUAUGAGACUAGUGCAAACAAUAUGUUGAAAUAGUAGAUUUAGUAGUCUGCUUUCUUUCUCCGGGUAUGAACUCCUCCCUUGAGGAAGGCCCCUGUUGUGGCAAUUCAACCCGGUGAGCACAACUCUUGCUCGGGUAGGUGGUGCCGUUUUCCGGCAACUUGCUAAAUUCCACCAUGCAGCGGCCAUCGCCUACCCUAAUGCUAAUAAUCUUAGCAGUAUUAAAUGAUUUAUACGAAUAAAUUCAUUAGCCACAGAAAUGUGUGUAAAAGAGACUAAUCGCACUUAAAAACUUGAGUACUUUGUCGUUGAGUUAGCAUCCCCAAGAAAAUAUUAAAAAAAAUUA